rnacentral:rRNA from 1 species
GACGGAGGAUGCAAGUGUUAUCCGGAAUCACUGGGCGUAAAGCGUGUGUAGGUGGUCAAAUAAGUCAACUGUUAAAUCUUGAGGCUCAACCUCAAAAUCGCAGUCGAAACUAUUAGACUAGAGUAUAGUAGGGGUAAAGGGAAUUUCCAGUGGAGCGGUGAAAUGCGUAGAGAUUGGAAAGAACACCGAUGGCGAAGGCACUUUACUGGGCUAUUACUAACACUCAGAGACGAAAGCUAGGGGAGCAAACGGG